UGCGGAGCCUCGGGGCUGUAACCAAAACAAAGGAGCUCGGCUCCUGCCAGGCGACUCCGGGCCACGGAAGCCCGCACACGCUGGGGAGCGACCGAACCGACCCCAGGUCCUGGUCCCAGAACCAGGGGUGGGGAACUGGGGCUCCCGGUCCCCCGAGCUCUUAUCACGGCCACCGAACACUUCCAAAAAAGGGGUUAACGUCGGUCUCGGGAGCUAGGUUUGAAAGACGAUUUCCUGAAGGUGACGGGGAGCCGAGAGGAGAAGGGAAAGGCGUAAAGCCAAAGAGGGAGCUCCGGCAAUUUCCCCUCGGGGACCCAGAAUUCAAAGUAAACACCCAGGAAAGGUCACCGCAGCCCGAAACCCACCACCCGGGCAGCCUCAGAAGCGCGGGCGCCAAGCGCCCGGCCGCGCAAAGGGCCCUGGGAAUGUAGUCCCCAGCCCGGCCCUCGCCGCAAAGCCGCCGAGCGAGGCAGCAGCCGGGAACUACAACUCCCAGAGGGGAGCGCGGCCCCGCGACGCCCACAGCCCCGCAUCAAAGGAGCUGGUACAGAGCUGCAUCCCUAAACCCAGGUUUCUUCUCUCCGCCAGGUAAUACAUCAGCUAAUAUCUGAGAAAAUAAGGUGGAAGUACAAAUAAAUUUCAAGAAUAAAGCCACUCUGAGAUAUUUUUCAGGUAGAGCCACUUUCAAGUUGUGGAACCAAUGCAGUUGCACAGGCCUGAUGCCCAGAACACUUAGGGUUUAAUGCUCUGCACUUGCUGUCUUGGAAAGCGAUCAUCGUUUUGUGUUCUGUAAGUGAAGUACAAUGUGGACAAUAGGGCAUAUGCCUGGGCCUUGGAGCUUCAGCUCACAGGCAGGUCCCCUUCCGGCUGCCACACUUUCUAGUGAGUGUUCAGAGAGUGGCUGGUUCUGCAGUUUGCUAACACUAGCUCCUGCACUACACUCACCGAAGCUAGGGGCACUGCCAUGCACCCCGCAAGCAGCUGGAUGCCCACCCCAUCCAGGACCCAUGUACAUAACACAUCCCACAGGAUUGCCUAUUCCAUAUGGGUUAGGCCAGGAGUACAGUGUAAGAAGAAGGCCACAGCCUUCUCCCACCCUCUGUGGGGUGUAACAUAUUGGUCUAGAACCUCAUAGUAGGAGCAACCCAAAAGCUGGCCGGGCCCCGUGUGUUCCAAUACAUGCAUCAAGUGACAGGGCGGGUCCCUGGGCACCUGAGGGGCUGCAAGGCCCUAGCAAAUGUCCUUGCCUGAGGGAGAUGACGUUAAAUAGCGAAUGAAAAAACACCAUGAGAGGUCAAGAGAUAGAUUACUGAAGAAAUGAAAUAGCUUAGUUAUUUUAUACCUUUAUCCUGAUAUUUGAAAAAGGGGACCCCUCUUUCAUUUUACACUGGAAAUUAUUUGUGCAGGUAGUCCUAUCCAUAGGCUCUAAUCUCCUUUCAAUUCACAGAUGCCAACUGCAUCCAUGUGGAAUUGUUUCACAUGUUCCUGUCCCCUGUAUAUCAUAUAAUCAGUAGAUAUGAAUACUUGAUUAGAUUUAGAUUUUAAAGAAUACUCGUAACUUAUUUUAAUGAUGCUUCAUAAUUUUAUUUUUUAAAGUAAUCUCUACACCCAAUGUGGUGCUUGAACUCAUGACCCCAAGAUCCAGAGUCACAUGCUCGCUCUAUCAACUGAGCAGCCAGGCAUUCCUUAAUGCUUCAUAAUUUUAAAGAAAGCUUCAUAUUUUUUUAAAGAUUUUUAUUAUUUGAGAGAGACACAUCAUGUGAGAGAGAGCAAGGGAAGCUGCAGAGGGAGAAGCAGGCUCCCUGCUGAGCAGGGACCCUGACAUGGGGCUCGAUCCCAAGACCCUGGUCAGGAUUAUGACCUGAGCUGAAGGCAGUUAACUGACUGAGCCACCUGGGUGCCCCAACUUCAUACUUUUUAAUGCCGUAUAGUUUUGUUGUUGUUUUUUAAGAUUUUAUUUAUAUGACAGAGAGUGUGCAUGCACAGUAGCACAAGCAGGGGGAGAUUCAGGCAGAGGGAGAGGCUGGGUCCCCACUGAGCAGAGAGCCUGAUGUGGUGCUCAAUCCCAGGACCCUGGGAUCAUGACCUGAGCCCCAGUUAGCUGCCUAACUGACUGAGCCACCCAGGUGCUCCAAUGCUAUAUAGUUUUUAAACCAGUUACUUUCUAGUUAUUAGGCAUUCCUUUCAAAGCCUUCCCUGAAGUCAAUGCCUGAGAGUCUUGGGACUGACCAGCCUUCCAGGAACUAUGGUAGUAGGUUCUAAAAAAGGUAUGUCCCUCCCACACCUGUAAAGAGAACUCUAUGGGAAGAAACAUUAAAAAUGGAAUGUAAAGUCAUUCCAAAGGCAUUCAUGUUUAUGUUCCUGUCGUCUUACUAGAACUUUAUGUGGCUUUUAGCAUUGUCAAGUCUCUUCCAUAGGCUUCUCUGAAGUGACUAUCAUGGAUCUCUAUUUCCUUUGACCUCAUCUGCCCAGGCUUCUUCAGAUAAUUCUCUCUCCAGUCCCUUAUCCCUUAAAUAUUGGUAUUCCUGGAUUCUUUUGCACGAACUCAUUCUAGUUGCUCUUUCUAGAGUUGGUAGACACAGAGAUGCAAUAUCCAUAUCCCUCUUCAAGCAAAGGCUUGCUGCCGAACAGUGAACAUUGAUCAUUGUCACUGGCAUCCUCAACUCGCAGUAGGGUCUGGCUUAGCUACUGAGAACCACUUUACUUGGCUCAUGAUCUCUCUGGGGGCAACACACAUCCAGGGACAAGGUGGGGGUAUAAACAGGGUUGAUUAUUUGGCCCAACAUGGAAUGCUCUGACAGGCAAUAACUGUUCAAGAGCUCCUGCUGGGAUUGACUGAGGUUUAGUUAGACCAGUAAUUUAUUUAAACUGCUGCUUCAUAUUGCUUUCUCCCCUCUCCUUUCACAGGACUUGAUCCCUAAUGAACAUCUUGCAUGCUAAACGCAGUCUCAGGAAGCGCUUCCAUAGAAGCCAGCCUGUAACACUAGGUGAUGUUAUCACACAUAUUCUAUCACCUAUAUGUCCAUUACUCUUAAAAUAUAUCCUUUUCCGAAUACUCUUUUGAACUUGUUUAACGUCCUAAAACACAGCUCCACCUUAACAUGCUAUAGGCACCUUGAGCUCCAACUUUGCAAAAUUGACCCUUUGCCUCACAAACAUGCUUUCUCCUAUCUGACCUUUGGAUAAAUGAUAUAAUUAUUCACUAAGUUCCCAUCUUCACAAUUUCCUAGGGGAUCCCUGGGUGACUCAGCAGUUUGGCGCCUGCCUUUGGUCCAGGGUGCGAUCCUGGAGUCCCAGGAUCGAGUCCCACGUCGGGCUCCUGGCAUGGAGCCUGCUUCUCCCUCUGCCUGUGUCUCUGCCUCUUUCUAUGUCUGUCAUAAAUAAAUAAAUAAAUCUUUAAAAAAAUUUUCCUUACCUUCUCUAUUAAUUAUCUGUUGCUAUGUCGACAAAGUAUUCCUGAACAUAGU